GGGGUGGAUAAAUAUCUGGGGGGGGUGCUGCUGCUUGCUUUGGCCGGGGCGUGGUGGCAACGCCCGGAAAGGCCAAGGAAAAAGUUUAGCAAAAUUUGUUUUCUAGGCCUGCAUGGCGAGAUCUGAGACCAUAAUAUUGGUAAUUUUACAAAUUUAGUAGUAAGAAUAAUCAAAUAUGAAACUAUCAAAUCAAAAUAUAUGUAAUUUGCGGGGGUGCCACAUGCCUUUGGGGGGG